rnacentral:lncRNA from 1 species
AGCCAUCAUACACAUCAUCAAGUACAAAGUAGAUAUGAAUAUCUUCUUCUUCAAGUUUGCUUUCGUAGUUGCACUGCUGGCUUUUGCAGGUAACCUGAUUUUUUCACUACUUAAUAUUUGUGUAAAUUGUCUCUGUUCGCAGCUAUGUUUGCCGUAGAUUAAAUGCCCUUUGCGUCUACGGUCAUUCAAGUUCUAAUAACUAAUUAUAAGAGGUAGAGGUUGAUGUUCAGUGAGUAAGGUUAAUCAUCCCAUCCAAAGCAUUUUGUAAAAAAAAAAAAAAAAUGCAAAUAUUUCUCCAAAUAAAUAUUGGUGGGUGUAGUGUGUGCAAAUUAAAAAAAAAAAAAAUCAUGGUAUGACUAUUUUGUAUUGAAACUCUCUCUCUCUCUCUCUGUGUGUGUCUAUAUAUAUAUAUAUGUGUGUGUGUAUUAUUUUCAAUUGUAUCCUGAAUAAUAUAUCAAAUAUAUAUUAUACAGAGAUAGCUAGCAUACUUUAAAAGGUAAGUUUGAAGUUAAUUAAUUGAUAGUUGAUCGAUGCAUGCAGGUCAGCAGUAUGGAGCAGAUGCAAGGUUUGGUGUAAGGCGGUGCAAUACAACCGCGGAUUGUGUUCCACCCUGUAUAUGUGAUGGUUAUUUCUGUAAUUGUCAUGUACAACAAGAACCCGUCAAUAUUGGGCAAAUGAUAAUGGAUAAUCGCCAUUCAUGAUUUAAUUUGUAAUAUACAGGAUAAUAGGAGUGCAUGCAUGCCUAUAUUUGCAGAGAUGCAUUUACAUGUAUGUGUGUAUAACUUCUGAAGUUCUGUACUUCUAUGAUGAAUAAUUGUUCAAGUAAUAAAACAAUAUUCAAGUUGCAUCUUUCUUUUCUUUUCUUUUUUUUUAAUAGACAUAAUAACUCAUCCAAUAGAUCGAUAUACAUUCAACCUAUCUCAGUGACCAAUUGGUUAAACGUUUGUAUUUUCACACUGAGAGUCUUAGACCAGGGUACUCAUAGUUGAAGAUAUAUUUGUAAAUAAUAUAAUACAAUAAAUUUCAACACUUUGAUUUAAGAUCUAGAUUCUAAUAGGCUUAGACGACUUUUGCUGAACUUUUGAAUCUAAAAUACUUUGGCUUUCAUGAAAUUUGGUGAAUUUGGAUCCGGUCCAGAGUAUGUUUUAAUAAUCUUCAGUUAAGUGGGUAUUUUUAUACCAGCACAAAUAUCAUAUGUUCAAAAGACAACAACAUUUGUUUUCUCUUUUUCCUCCCAUAAGAUUUGUUUUCAAGUACAAAAGCACAACAUUAUUAUUGAAUAUGAUAUGGAUAUAUGUAGAAAUCAAGAGUAGACGGUCGUGAAUGUCGUUGUCCUGAUAAAACACAGAAAGCCAUCCCUCGUACGUGAGAGUAUUAUCAGUUCUCUGUGGUUAAAAGUUGCAACUCGAAAAUAAUGAUUUUUGUUGUUAAUAAAGGUCAUUCUAUAAUGCCUUUUUUUUAAGUAUUAAUAAUGUAACAAAAUGUGUUCAAUUGGUUUAAUCCGCCGUGUAAAAUAUUUGUAUUAAUAACACUAUUGUAAUCCGUUAAGAAUUCUUAUUUAAAUUUUUUUUUUUUAAAUAAAGAGUUAUGGAAGAUCAAUACCUCUCUUUCUUUUUUGAAUUCAUAACUCGCCAUUCAAUUAGAACUCAUCAACUUAAUUUUAAAUCUCAUCCUUUUCGAUUAGUCACCUUUGUAAGACUCAAGCCUGUAAACAAUUUUCAUAUUC